rnacentral:lncRNA from 1 species
GCCGCUUACUUCAUCAUGAACUGGAGCCGAACUACUGCUUUCAGUAAGGGGGAGCUCGAUGCAGUCCAAAUCUGAUUCUGCAACCUGAACAAGAAAGAAUAUUUAUGGGGAGAAUAAAAGAUGCAGCAUAAUCAGUAUGGCUGGUUUGCACAGAAAGCAACUCUUGCCUUUUGUGAUUGAGUCACACAUGAGUUCUUCUGCUCGGUUGGGACUCUGAUGAUUUGCCUCAAGUAUGUUGCUUUUUCAAUAUUUA